rnacentral:lncRNA from 1 species
CCCAUACUAAAGCCCAGAUAUAUACAAGAAUACCUGCAAAAAAGUUGUUACUUGAGUGAUUACCUAAUAAUAUAAUGCAAUAAUAAAGUAUUUGAUAAAGUAAAUUAUCGUUCAUAAAAUCCAAACUUUACUCAUCUAUUUACUUAGUAACAUUACAAAAAGUGUAAAUUUAAUUAUCAAUAGAAGUUGUUACUUGAGUGAUUACCCUAAUGCAAUAAUAAAGUAUUUGAUAAAGUAAAUUAUCGUUCAUAAAAUCCAAACUUUACUCAUCUAUUUACUUAGUAACAUUACAAAAAGUGUAAAUUUAAUUAUCAAUAAAUUUGUUUUUUGACGUUGCUGUCUAUGAAUAAAUUUUCCUGUAACAUUAAUGUGUCCUAAGACCUAAUUCAGUGAUGGUGGUAAAAUAUGCAAACAAUUUUUUUUAAAUAAUUUCUUUAUUUAGUUUCUUUAAACUUUUUAAAAUUAUAAUUUUGUUUUAUGUGGAUUGUUUAUUUUAUGGUGUAUGUUGUAACACUACAAGAAAAUUACUAAAUAGAAAUCAAUUUUAGAGACACAAAAUAAUUAGUUGUUAGUGACUAAAUUAGAAAUCAUUUUAGAGACUAAAAAAAUUAUUGGUUUCUAAAUUAGUU